CACGGUCACUUGCACCAGCCUCUGUCCUGCGGAGGAUUUAAAGCCCCGCCUGUACUCGACGUGGCCCUGACACUGCUACCCCUGCAUCAUGCGGGUGCUGUCGCUGCUGCUGCUACUGGGGCUCUGCUGCCUCUGGGCCCGGCUGGUGGCUGCAGGGUUCACCUAACCCCUGUUUGGACCUGGACCAAGGACCCCACUUGUGCAGUCUCGUGCCAGGUAGCCGGGCAGCCGGACAUGGACUCAUCCAUCGACUGCAGAGCGAGAACCCAUCAUCCCCCAUCCCAAAUCCACCCCUCAGCGCUCAGCUCAGAACUGGGCACGGGGGUCUCUGUGCUUCUUCCUUGCUAUUAAAUCCCAUCUGCAAUGAGCUCUGCUGGUUCCCGUGGUGUCAGUCUCCUGCUGAACCCUUGUUGGACCCCCAAUCCACGUGGGAGGGAAGUGCCAUGGCAGACAGUUGGUCCUGGGGUCAGCACACACAUCCUGCCUGCAGCCUCACGCCAGGCUGCUCCUCCAGGCUAUGACGUGUCAGGGGCAUCUCUGGGUCUGUGGAAGAAGCUGGGAAUGGUACAUCCAUGCAAGCUCCCAGAUGGCUUGGAGAUGCCAGGCACUGUGACAAGGGACAGCUUGUUGUGUUGAGCAAGUGGCCCACUGUGGGAUUUAUUAGGAAAUAGAAGGUCCUGCCCAAAACAGCGCUGGUGUCCAGGACUGGCCCUGGCAGAGUGAGGCGAGGGGAGGCUGGGGGCAGCUCCGUGUGCCCACCUGCCAUGGGCUGUCAUUGCACCUUGUGCCCUGCACACGCCCCACAGUGCUGGUCACCAAGCAUCAUCGCGCCAGCAUCGCUGCCAUCUCCACCACUGUAAUCUUCAGUCAUCACCGUCACCGUAUCCAUCGGCAUCUCCAUAGUCAUUCCCAUUUCCACCGUCGUCAUCACUGCCAUUGUUACCGUCACCAUUAUCGUCAUCAUCAUAGCCCUCGUCGUCAUUGUAGCCAUAGUAAUAAUCAUGGUCAUCAGCCAUAUCAUCCUCAUACCCUUUUUUCUCAUCACCAUCGUCAUCACUGUCAUCGUCAUCAUCGUCAUCAAUGUCAUCACCCACCUCACCAUCUCCAUGCUCGGGCUGUUUCUCUCCCAACUUGAGCUUCUCCCCACUCUCCUGUUUCCCCCCAGCCUCCGGCUUUCCCCCCGCCUCUGGCUUUUUCCCCAGCACGGGUUUCUCUCCACCCGUUGGCUUCCCCCCAGUCCCUGGCUUUUUCCCACUCUCAGUUUUCCCUCCACUCUCCACUUUCCCCCCACCCUCUGGUUUUGCCAUUGCUCCUGGCGUUAUCUUAGGCUUUUCCCCAUUCCCAUCCUUCCCCUCACACUCUGGCUUCUUCCCCACGCUGGGUUUCUUUGCGAUCUCCUGCUUUUCCCUCAGUGCAGGCGUGCUGCCCGCUGGAGGCUUCUCCCUGCUCCCCGCUCCAUUCUCAGGCACAGGUCUCACCGCCGGCCGCUCCCCAUGCAGGUGCUGCUCCGCACCGCCCCGCUCUGCCCCCAGCUGCUGCUGCACAGAUGGGCUCUGGGUGCCGUUCCGCUGCCGGCACCGGGCAUCUGCUGGCACCACCGCCUGCGGUUGGGUCACAGGGAGGAUGGUUGCUGCUCCGUGCAGCCCUGGGCUACACCGUCCUGGUGGAGGGAAUGGAGAAAGGUGAAACACCGACGGCAGCACGUUCUUAGCAAAAUGAAGUGGAGAUGCAAUGUAUUAUUUAAGCAGGGCAUAAAUACGGCACUAAGCAUGGCUGCGAAGCAAGCGCACACGUUUUUCUGUUAAGCAAUAGCGAGCAAACACGCACAGAAAUAGCACAACACACUGCUGACACACACUGCCUGCCUCGCAGCUCCUCUCUAAAAUGGAAUGGGGCCAAAACGUUACGAAGGAAGGCAUCACAGCCACUGUCCAGCUGGGAAAACACAAGGCUUCAAGCCACUACUUAUCUAAGACCUAAAGAAAUUCAGGUUUCCAAAAGGGAGCAUUUAGGAGACGAUGAAGGCAUUUCUGCACACAUUUCAUCAGAGCGCAACAGCCCCAGAGCCUCAUUGCAGAGCAGCAGCACGUCUAGCUGACACCGAGCAGUUACUGCCUGGUAGUCUGAGCUUAAACAUCAAACAGCCCAACUUGUAGUGAACGCUGAGUGCUCUGGAAGAGGAGACGGGCAGAAUUUUAAACGCUGCUCACUGCUCGUACAGAAACAAAUGUGAUUUCCAUUCCUUUGAAAGUUGGCCAUUUUUCUCGAGGGAAAAAGAAAAGUAAGGAGGAAAAAUGAUUCUUUCAUGGGAAUUUCCCCUCUUGCAAACGCACUCCCGGGCUGAGAGCCUCGGAGGGGUUGCUGGGAGCAUGGCUGGAGCCUGCACACAGCCCAGGGCACAGGUCGGGCUGAAGGAAGCGCCUCCCCAGCACUGCGGCUGUGUGCCGGUGUCACUGCGGGCUCUGUCCCCAUCGGGGUUCGGCCUCCAGGCAAAGAACCCCCCCGGCAACAGCCCCAUCCGGGCAGAGCCGGGCUGCAUCCUCCAGUGCUCAGGGUAUGGGGAGCCCCCGGUCCCAGCCAACAGCACCAGAUAAGCAGCGUCAGAAGGAAAUAACAGAAAGCGAGAGAAGCUUCUGCAGCUGGAGUGCUCUGAACCGGACCUGCAUGACAUUCAGCGUUUUGUAGAACCUAAAGGUUAGGAGCCUUAAGCAGGGCUAGAGCUCGCGAGGGUCUCAGCUCUCGCAGAAAGCGCUCAGACACCAGGACCGAAGCAGAGCCAUCCGCACAGCCCACCUCACCGACCGCGCAGCGCUGCCCUGGGCGCGGGGCCGUGCUCACCUGCAGCGGGCGCUGCGUGCAGCGGUGCACCGAGGGCCAGCAGCCCCAGCAGGAGCCAACCACCCGCCUGCAUGCUGCCAGCACCCUGCCCGCCCGGCGCCGCGCCGGGCUUUAAGGUUCUGCAGAGAGGCGGCCCCGGGCACCUCCCACGUCCUGCGUGCACCGUGGGACACCCGCAGCAGCGGGACAGGAGGAGACACCGGAACACGGGGCUGCUGCCAGCCCUCCUCGAGGCACCCUUUGCUCCGCUUCUCGGCCCAUAAACCCUUAAUGGGCACUCGUGACGUCAAAGAGCUUCAUUCAGCCCCGGGGCGCUUUCC
ensembl:lncRNA